rnacentral:rRNA from 1 species
AGUGAACGCUGGCGGUAGGCCUAACACAUGCAAGUCGAACGGCAGCACAGGAGAGCUUGCUCUCUAUGUGGCGAGUGGCGGACGGGUGAGGAAUACAUCGGAAUCUGCCCAGUCGUGGGGGAUAACGUAGGGAAACUUACGCUAAUACCGCAUACGACCUUCGGGUGAAAGAGGGGGAUCGCAAGACCUCUCGCGAUUGGAUGAGCCGAUGUCGGAUUCGCUAGUUAGCGGGGUAAUGGCCCACCAAGGCGACGAUCCGUAGCUGGUCUGAGAGGAUGAUCAGCCACACUGGAACUGAGACACGGUCCAGACUCCUACGGGAGGCAGCAGUGGGGAAUAUUGGACAAUGGGCGCAAGCCUGAUACAGCCAUACCGCGUGGGUGAAGAAGGCCUUCGGGUUGUAAAGCCCUUUUGUUGGGAAAGAAAUCUUUCAGGCUAAUACCCUGGGAGGAUGACGGUACCCAAAGAAUAAGCACCGGCUAACUUCGUG